rnacentral:rRNA from 1 species
GAUGAACGCUGGCGGCGUGCCUAAUACAUGCAAGUCGAGCGAACAGAUAAGGAGCUUGCUCCUUUGACGUUAGCGGCGGACGGGUGAGUAACACGUGGACAACCUACCUAUAAGACUGGGAUAACUUCGGGAAACCGGAGCUAAUACCGGAUAACAUAUUGAACCGCAUGGUUCAAUAGUGAAAGGCGGCUUUGCUGUCACUUAUAGAUGGAUCCGCGCCGUAUUAGCUAGUUGGUAAGGUAACGGCUUACCAAGGCAACGAUACGUAGCCGACCUGAGAGGGUGAUCGGCCACACUGGAACUGAGACACGGUCCAGACUCCUACGGGAGGCAGCAGUAGGGAAUCUUCCGCAAUGGGCGAAAGCCUGACGGAGCAACGCCGCGUGAGUGAUGAAGGUCUUCGGAUCGUAAAACUCUGUUAUCAGGGAAGAACAAAUGUGUAAGUAACUGUGCACAUCUUGACGGUACCUGAUCAGAAAGCCACGGCUAACUACGUG